CCUUGUCAUUCCCUGUGGGCCCCCCCUUACGGCCCCCGGCAACCCUGGCAACUGUUGUGGCGGCUGCCCGGCUUGUACCCGCUAGUGCCGAGCGCGCAGCCGGUGGGGGCCCAUGAGUGGGCGUACGAACUGGGUCUGUCCAACGAGGAGCCGAUCAGUAUCCCGUUACAUGCCUGCGAACACUUCUACCUUCUGACUCGCCCCUUGGAGACCCCUCUGCAGAGCAACACGCCAACUAUUGUGGAUGCUGAUGGAAGAAUUUAUAUUCGGAACUGGCAGGGUGGCAUCUUGUCUGGAGGCUUUGAGAAGACCCCAAAACCCAUUUUCACUGUGGGCAAGAACCAGCUGGAGAUUCAGAACCUGCAGGAAGACUGGGAUCACUUUGGUGACCCAGAAGGCACAUACUCCCAUUUCCCUCACUGACAUGGGCUCACAGAUACGUCAGUGAUAAGUCAAGCCCCAGGUUCUUACAGUGAAGUCAGUUGUAAGGCAGGAUGUCAAAUUCAAUGACAGCAAUAGUAACUUCAGAAGGAGGAACGGAGGCUUUCUCUCUCCAGCCAGGCCAACCUGCAUAAUGCCUGUACAUGCUUUAUCUCAGUUUCCAAGUUCUGUUUUACACUUGGCAGCACAGCAAUAAACAGGUUUAUGUAUCAUGUUUCUUUUUUGUGAUGGCAAAUACAAACACCGAGUUAUACAGGUAUUAAGAAUAUUUCACAAGCAGACCGGCAAGAGUAAUUCAAAUGUCUGUUUAUUCAUUGACAAACCUAGUCACAUGAACAGAAAAUCUGAAUUGAAAUCUGCCUUGAUAGAAACACAGUGCACAAUAUUAAUACCGUGUUCAUGGCGGGCAGAAAGGCUUUAGGCUGUGUGCCUAAAGCCAGCAGGGCUCUUGAGAAAAGAUCCCAUUUACCUCAGUGCCUGAACAUCUUCAGGACCACAUGCUGACUGGAUACAGAAAAAGGAAGGGGCUGAACAGAACUGCACAUUUACAAAUGCAGAUAAUGAGUUACAAUUACUGUGGCUCUACGAUACAUCCCAAGAGUUGACCAGAGUAAAGUGGGAACUGUGCUGCUAGAAGCCCUUCAUUGAAACGAGCUGUGGGAGCUUUCUACCCCACACCCAUUUAUCCUGGGGAAGAAGAAGGUAUACGGGGUGAUGGAACCCUCACACUGAAAUGGAGUUACUUUCUUUUUCGUCCUUCCUCUCUCCACCCACCAUGUGACAUUCUGGAGUGUAAGGCACGAAACCUGGCGUGGAGAAAAGAGGUGCUCUGAGCUCCAGUGUGCAAAGGAAUUCCUGGCUUACAUCUUUUGAAAGAGAUGCUAAAAAUAUCCUCCCCACCUCUAGUAAUUACUGUCCUUGAGAGACAGAAAAAGGAGAUGGCAGAAGGAGGUUUGCAAAGGAUAAAAAUAUCAUGAGAAAAACAGCCCAUGAGAAAUGUGUAAUUCUCCAAGGAGUGCCGACACUCUGCUGAGAGAAGUCAAGAAUCAUAUUAUACAAGGAACAACUCUGGUGUUUAAUGGACAAAGGCAAAGAUAUAUAAAAAUACUCAGUCCUCUUGAAAAAUAGUGCAUUUGUAGUGAUGCGGGACUGCAAAUGUGAGCCCCUCCUGACAGUGAAGGAGCCUUACACCUGAGCACCUGAUGUGGAGGCGGACGGGGAGGCGCCGACAGGCAGACACCCUCAGUGGUUCACAGCUCACUGCUGGCCAGCGUGGUUAAUGCCAAACCACGCUUAAACUUCAUCUACCAUGUCUUCCUCUCAGCUGUGCUGCUCCUGAAUCCAUGUGUCUGCAAAUGAUGUGUGAGAUGAAAAUGCUUUACUCACAUGAAAAUUUCCCCAACUCAUGUUGGUAAAAUGCUGCUUGUAUCAAAGUUUAUGAGGUAUGGGGGCGGGAUGAGGGGUGCAAAAAGUAAAUGAACAAAAGGUUAUUUUUCAGUAUUAAGCACUGUUGACCAAAACAUCUCUUAGAUACUAAAGAGGAUCCUUGCUGAGUAUUGGUCAAGAAGCAACAAAAAAAUCUAAACAUGAACCUGUAGCUUACCCUGACAGCAAGCCAGUGCAAUUGUUCUUCUAGGGCCAGAGCCAAGACCGCAGGUCAGAGAAUAUUCCCUUUCAUCUGCCUCAGGCUCUGAAAGGAUGGUGAAGGGUGUGUCCAUAAGCCAGAGCCCCAAAUCCAGGUGGUGAGUCAUCUCUUCAGUGAAACAAAACCACUUUAGAAAGCUGCUAUCAUUCCUGCCACAUAGGUGGGGCGGGGGGCAGGUUAACACUGCAAAGGCAGGUAGGUAAUGAAGAAGACUGAAGCACGUUUUACAUUUUAGUCCCUUUCUUGGACACAACAGCCCAAGAGAGAAGGGAAGCAGGUAAAAUGCUUGUUCUGUACAAGGAGAUAGAAUCCAGGGACCUCAUGCCUCCUCCUGAUGGGAACCAAAGUGACUGUGCUCUCCUCGUGCAGAAAUGGGACCUUUGGGCCAAAGUGAAACUGGGUUAAUCACUGGGCCGAAUGGUCUUUGGGUCGUUAGCCUGAAUGGCAUCUCCCAUUUGGGGGUACAGGGACUCCCCAGAAGAACUCUACAGAUACGUAGUGUUCACUUCUCUGCUGGAGCAUGUCUGGCCCAUGCAGUGAAUGUGCAUCAAACAGACUAUCCAAGCAGGUAGUUUUUGUCCCUGUUUGCUCUUCACACUUUCUGGAUUAGAGCCUCUGACUUCAGUGGCAUUACUGGGGACGGGAAAUCUUUCCGAUGCAAGCCGCAGUGGUGUCCGAUGAGCAUGGCAGUGCCAGGAAACAGGACUUACGCGAGGCGUGCGUGACAGGGCUCAGGCGUUAUCUGCAGGGAGGACGAGGCCCCCAGGAGGCCUGCAGCCCUGGCCUUCAUCUCUUUGAGGCUAACAUACUCGGACUUUUUGCUUCUAGGGUUGAGAUGCUUCAGUCGAAUGUGCUGACAUGACAGAAGUGUGCAGAGCCCCUCGCCCAAGAGAACACAAGAGGUGACGACAGAUCAUUUCAGAGAGAAAGGUACCAACCACCUAAAUAAAACUAAAGUCCAGCCACUCAUUUCGAAGAGCCCAGAACCAGGGAGAGGUGAGUUGUCACACAAGGCAAACAUGUGACCUCCUGCCCAAAGGACAGAAAUGACACACAGAUGUUUUGAUUGUCAAUUUUGCUAGAGGUAGAGGUCACCCCUUCAAAUUUAAGACCAAACAGAAAACUACUAGAUUUCACACUACCUAUAUCCAAAUGAGCCAAGAGACUUCAGGAUGGAUUUUAAGGUGCCAAAAGAUAAGUAAGUGUGCUUCAGGGCACCAAAUAAACAAGUGAAGCCUCAGAAGAGUACCAGCUUGCCACAGUCUUGGGUAUAACCUCUACCUAUGGACAAGGUGACAUUUAUAACUCUACAGUUUCUUUUGGAUUCGAUCCCAAGUAGAUUUUCACGUACACAGAGGACUUUGGAAUCGUGCAGAGCACUGAUACCUUUAGCUCUAAAUCCUGUUUCCUUCCAACACCUGCCUUGGCCAAGGGCCCGCUCUCCGCUCCCCUGAGCCCUUCACGGGGCUGGGCACACGUCUCCUUCCUCCUCUCCUUGAGAGCAAGUGCUGUCAGCUAGUUAAGUGUACGUCGGCACCAAAAUAGCAAGGCCCCCAAGCAGUUCUAGUCACUUGCUCCCUUAAUAAAUUAAAAUCUCCUAAAAAGGUGGACACUGAAGUCAGUAAUCAAGAAGGUGUGGUCUGGCUGGGGAAAUAGCAAGAAAUGUCUGGAACAAAACAAGCCAGUCAGAUUUAGUGGGUAAACGGAGAUGGCCAGACCAGGCAAACACCUGAGAAUUUUAAGCUGCUCUAAUAAAGUAAGAGGAUCUUUAAUAUAUUUAUAGAUCUAUCAGAGCUACUGCUUCUAAGAUACCAAGACAAAGGCUACAGUUUAGUUAAAACAUCUAACAGCAGGUUAGGGCAGCUCAUGUCAGGGAAAAGUAAAUGCUAAGUUGGCAAGCACAGCCUGGGGUAUCUGAAUUUCUCCCUUGGAAAACAGAGACACUACUUAAUUGUGCAGAGCCCUCAAGGGGCGCCCCAAGGUUUCUAUUCCAGAGGAUAUGGAGAGAUGGCUCAAUGGGGAAAGAAAGGAUGGAAAGAAGUCUGCUAGGCUCACAUAACAUGUGCCCUCCACACUGAAUUCUCUGGGUCUGUCUGUUCUGUGCCAGAAGCAGCCGCAUGGGUCACUCGCUCAGGACGGAAUGCCUUACCCUACCCCCCGUUUUCUGAAGGGGGAGAGACAUUUGCUGAGCUAGUGGGCCUCCUGCUGAAGGGAUAGGUGAGGCUGAACUGAUGAGGAAAAUCAAGAUGGGAUGAUGGAACUUUGACUAGCUGGAAGAAAAGCAGCACUGUUUUAACAGAAAACCCUGCAUUGUUUGGUGGUGGUACUUUCUCAGGUCGGACCAUUUCAGUUGGGAAAAGCAACACAAAAGGCAACAUGGUUUACUCAGCUAAACCAACAAAACCCCUCAUUAUAGAGAUUAAAAAGAGAUGAAGAAUCGAGGCAGGUGGCUCUGGCCCUAUGGUCUGAUAACUGGGACCCGGCUUGGCAGGGAGGCUGGGGGUGGCGCCAGAUUAACGAUUUAUCUCUGCUCCAGACAACGUCCACGUGAUGCCUCCCAUCAGUGAGGUAGAUGGUCAUCGUUUUGCUAGAGGUAUCAGGGUGCCAACCCCAGCGCAGGAGAAUGGGCUGCCUGGCUGAAAGGCACAGACUGUUCCACAGCGCCGCAGCAAACAUACAGCAACCCACCAAAAUUAACAGGUGUCUCCGAGAAGACUGAGCCCCACAGAGACCAGCUCUUGCCCUGAGGGCCCGCACACCACCAGCUUCCCUUACCUCGAGACCAGCAUUUGUAAUCAGACUGUCACCAUAAGCCACUUCCACAAGAGGAGCAUGUUUCUGUCACCACAGGAAUCAGAGUGGUGGAAGGACAGGAUGAACAGCCCAGAGAAAGAAAGGCAACACAGACGGCGUCUAUGCUCUGGCUCGCAGCACUAUGAGCAGCACAAUGGGAAGGGUCGCCUGGUGUCACUACAGUGAGUGCAACGCUUUUCCCCCACAGCCCUGCAGGCUUUGGGGAAAGUGACAACUUCAGAGACUAACAACACAGACUUCCUGCUUGGGAAGCUGAGUGACGGACACAUACCUUCUCUAAUUUCACCCGAGAUUCGCGUCCACAUUCCAGGGGCGUGGUGAGGGUAUUUAAAUCCUGACCCCAAAAGGCAAAAAACUUCUCAAUUCGGA